GAACUGAAAUCAAGAGUUGGCCAUUAAUUGACUAAGCCACCCAGGUGCCUCUGGCCAUUAUUUCUUUGAGUACUUUUCAGCCCCAUCUUCUUUCUCCUCUCCUCCAGGAAGCCUGAUGACAUAUGUCCUUGAAGAUCUGUUGUCCUUAUUCUUUGAAAAUCUUAUUUUCUCUUUUGUUCAGGUUAGGUAAUUUCUAUUUUUUAAUUUUUCUGUCUUACCCAUUCUUUCCUUAACAGUUGAACUCAUCCACAUUUUUUUUUUUUAAUUUUGCUUGUUUUACUUUCAGUCCUAAAAUUUCCACUUGGUUCUUCCUUAUAUCUUCUAUCACUUUGCUGAGACUUUCUCGUCUGGAAGUGGUAGAAGUGUCUCUUUAAUUCUCCACCAACACCACCAUGUGGGGGUGGGGUAGGGAGGUGGCGUCACUACCACUAGGUAUUGGUAAAAGUCUUGACUGUUUACUAAUACCACUUCAGUGGACAGGGGUAGGGCAUCUCCCCACGGCUGUCCUAGCCCACUACUUGGCUUCUUCUGAUGCCAUUUGGAUGAUUGUGUGAUGGGUGCUGGAGCCCUCAACGCAGCCUGGUGAGAGGAGGAAGCUCUGGACUUCCCAUUCAGCUUUUGCCGCCAUGGGUCCGGACACAGAGAGAAGAGAGGCAGAGACACAGACAGAGGGAGAAGCAGGCUCCCUGCAGGGAGCCCCCUGCAGAAUUCAAUCCUAGGACUCCGAGAUCACGCCCUGAGCCGAAGACAGACACUCAACCGCUGAGGCACCCAGGCGUCCCCCACUGGCAUUUUUGAGUUGCUGGUUUCUCUAAGCACUCAAUCUGGGAUAUAUAUGAGGCAGAAUAAAAACCCUAGAAUUCACUACCAAUGUCAUUCCUUAGGUCUGAAAGUCCCCAGCCAGUCUGCCCUUUUCUCUCUACCUUUCAGAUUCUGCUUAUAUUUGUUUUCUAUAUAAUACCCAGGAAUUGUAGCUGUACAUAGAAGGAGGAAUAAAAAAAGUAUGUCUA